CCUACGGGUGGCAGCAGUCGAGAAUCAUUCACAAUGGGGGAAACCCUGAUGGUGCGACGCCGCGUGGGGGAAUGAAGGUCUUCGGAUUGUAAACCCCUGUCAUGUGGGAGCAAAUUAAAAAGAUAGUACCACAAGAGGAAGAGACGGCUAACUCUGUGCCAGCAGCCGCGGUACUACAGAGGUCUCAAGCGUGGUUCGGAAUCACUGGGCGUAAAGCGUGCGUAGUCUGUUGCGUAAGUCGUGUGUGAAAGGCGCGGGCUCAACCCGCGGACGGCACAUGAUACUGCGAGACUAGAGUAAUGGAGGGGGAACCGGAAUUGUCGGGGUAGCAGUGAAAUGCGUAGAUAUCGAGAGGAACACUCGUGGCGAAGGCGGGUUCCUGGACAUUAACUGACGCUGAGGCACGAAGGCCAGGGGAGCGAAAGGGAUUAGAUACCCCGAGUAGUC
rnacentral:rRNA from 1 species